GGUGCGAGCGUUGUCCGGAUUUAUUGGGCGUAAAGGGCUCGUANGUGGUUGAUCGCGUCGGAAGUGUAAUCUUGGGGCUUAACCCUGAGCGUGCUUUCGAUACGGGUUGACUUGAGGAAGGUAGGGGAGAAUGGAAUUCCUGGUGGGGCGGUGGAAUGCGCAGAUAUCAGGAGGAACACCAGUGGCGAAGGCGGUUCUCUGGGCCUUUCCUGACGCUGAGGAGCGAAAGCGUGGGGAGCGAACAGGCUUAGAUACCCUGGUAGUCCACGCUGUAAACGGUGGGUACUAGGUGUGGGGUCCAUUCCACGGGUUCCGUGCCGUAGCUAACGCUUUAAGUACCCCGCCUGGGGAGUACGGCCGCAAGGCUAAAACCCAAAGGAAUUGACGGGGCCCCGCACAAGCGGCGGAGCAUGCGGAUUAAUUCGAUGCAACGCGUAGAACCUUACCUGGGUUUGACAUGGAUCGGGAGUGCUCAGAGAUGGGUGUGCCUCUUUUGGGGUCGGUUCACAGGUGGUGCAUGGCUGUCGUCAGCUCGUGUCGUGAGAUGUUGGGUUA
rnacentral:rRNA from 1 species